rnacentral:rRNA from 1 species
AGAGUUUGAUCCUGGCUCAGAACGAACGCUGGCGGCGUGCUUAACACAUGCAAGUCGAGUGCGCGGUUGUAGCAAUACAACUGGCGCACGGCGCACGGGUGCGUAACACGUGGGCAAUCUGCCCUUCGAUGGGGAAUAACUCCGGGAAACCGAAGCUAAUUCCGCAUAACAUUCCUUGGACUUCGGUUCGAGGAUUCAAAGCCGUAAGGCGUCGAAGGAGGAGCCCGCGCACGAUUAGCUAGUUGGUAGGGUAACGGCCUACCAAGGCUUUGAUCGUUAGCUGGUCUGAGAGGAUGGCCAGCCACACUGGAACUGAGACACGGUCCAGACUCCUACGGGAGGCAGCAGUGGGGAAUCUUGCACAAUGGGCGAAAGCCUGAUGCAGCGACGCCGCGUGGGGGAUGAAGCAUCUCGGUGUGUAAACCCCUUUCGACCCGGACGAAUGCCUCGCAAGAGGACUGACGGUACGGGUAUAAGAAGCCCCGGCUAACUACGUGCCAGCAGCCGCGGUAAGACGUAGGGGGCCAGCGUUGUUCGGAAUUACUGGGUGUAAAGGGUUCGUAGGUGGUGCGGCAAGUUGGAAGUGAAAUCUCUGGGCUUAACUCAGAGGCUGCUUUCAAAACUGCCGUGCUCGAGUGCGGGAGAGGCCAGUGGAAUUGCAGGUGUAGCGGUGAAAUGCGUAGAUAUCUGCAGGAACACCCGUGGCGAAGGCGGCUGGCUGGACCGCAACUGACACUGAGGAACGAAAGCUGGGGGAGCAAACAGGAUUAGAUACCCUGGUAGUCCUAGCCCUAAACCAUCAGAACUUGGGGUGGCCCGCGUAGGCGGGUCGUCCCGUAGCUAACGCGUUAAGUUCUGCGCCUGGGGAGUACGGUCGCAAGACUGAAACUCAAAGGAAUUGACGG